GACGAACGCUGGCGGCGUGCUUAACACAUGCAAGUCGAACGGAAAGGCCCUGCUUUUGUGGGGUGCUCGAGUGGCGAACGGGUGAGUAACACGUGAGUAACCUGCCCUUGACUUUGGGAUAACUUCAGGAAACUGGGGCUAAUACCGGAUAGGAGCUCCUGCUGCAUGGUGGGGGUUGGAAAGUUUCGGCGGUUGGGGAUGGACUCGCGGCUUAUCAGCUUGUUGGUGGGGUAGUGGCUUACCAAGGCUUUGACGGGUAGCCGGCCUGAGAGGGUGACCGGCCGUAUAGGGACUGACGUGAGGCCGAGGCGCCUAAGGGAGGCCAAAGUGGGGAAUAUUGAACCAUGGGCGGAGGGCGGAUGCAGAAGCGCCGCGUGCUGGAUAGCGGUCUUGGGGUUGUAGAACGCCUGCGCGUGUAACGACGGGUGAGCGGACGGAAUGGAAAGAGGAACACCCGCCUAAUACGUG
rnacentral:rRNA from 1 species